rnacentral:misc_RNA from 1 species
UGCUAAUGCACCAUAUAAGAGCUUGACAGUUGAGAAGGCUAUUCAGAAUUGGGUCCAAUAUGAGGGCAAUGUAUUUAGGUUUCCAGGUGGGGGAACUCAGUUUCCACAAGGGGCAGAUAAGUAUAUUGAUCAGCUAGCUUCAGUAAUACCGAUUGCUAAUGGGACUGUCAGAACUGCCCUGGACACUGGUUGUGGGGUUGCAAGUUGGGGCGCAUACCUUUGGAGUAGAAACGUUAUUGCCAUGUCUUUUGCACCGAGAGACUCGCAUGAAGCACAGGUUCAGUUUGCUCUUGAAAGAGGUGUACCUGCUGUUAUUGGUGUUCUUGGUACUAUAAAAAUGCCAUACCCUUCUAGAGCCUUUGACAUGGCUCACUGCUCUCGAUGCUUAAUUCCGUGGGGAGCAAAUGAUGGAACGUAUCUGAAGGAAGUUGACCGAGUUCUUAGACCUGGUGGUUACUGGGUGCUUUCCGGACCUCCAAUCAAUUGGAAGAAUAGUUACAAAGCAUGGCAGCGGCCCAAGGAG